rnacentral:lncRNA from 1 species
CCACUGAGCUAAAUCCCCAGCCCCCAAAAAUGUAAUUUUUAAAGUGUUUUUUUCAUAAGGGACAGUGUAAAGUCCGCACUGCCACAGGUUAUAAACGCAGUUGUACAGAAAUAAACUGCUUUCUUAGCUAAUCUGUUAGUGGUAAUUUUGUCCAAUCCUCAAACUCCGCUGCUAGCUCCCUUACUGCUUAGCCACACCAGCGGCUACUGGGUGAUGAAAAUUUGAAACCCUCAAACAGAGACACGAUGAUUAGAAUUAACUUCUCUUGAAAUUUCUUACAUAUUUAUAGCUUCUCCUGAGAAUAUUGGGUUUUUGUUUUGUUUGGAGGGGAGUUGGUUUUCAAGACAGGAUUUCUGGGUAUAGCCUGGUUAUUCUAGAACUCACUCUAGCCCAGGUUAGCCUUGGAUUCAGACAUUUGACUGCCUGUUCCACCUGAAUGAUGGGGUUAAAGGUAUGUACUCCCAUACCCAAUUUAAGACGUCUUUAGUAGGGAAAAGUGAAUGCUGGGCGUGGUGGGCCAAGGAUUUAAUCCCAGCAUUCAGGAGGCAGAAGCAGGUGGAUCUUUUAUGAGUUAGAAGCCAGCCAGAACCACACUAUAACACCCUGUCUCAGAGGGGUUUUAAAAAAAAGUCUUCGAUUUAUGGCUUCCUUUGAUCUAUUACUGUAAAAACUUCAUAAACUGAUACCAUGUUGAAAUGUGGACAUGAGGCAAUUUGAAUCUGUGUUUCCAGGCCAUGAUCACUAUAUGAUUUCAGAAUAAACUGUUUAAUUGAGACAA